AUACGGAGGGGGCUAGCGUUGUUCGGAAUUACUGGGCGUAAAGCGCACGUAGGCGGACUUUUAAGUCAGAUGUGAAAUCCCGGGGCUCAACCUCGGAACUGCAUUUGAAACUGGAAGUCUAGAGACCAGGAGAGGUUAGCGGAAUACCGAGUGUAGAGGUGAAAUUCGUAGAUAUUCGGUGGAACACCAGUGGCGAAGGCGGCUAACUGGACUGGUACUGACGCUGAGGUGCGAAAGUGUGGGGAGCAAACAGGAUUAGAUACCCUGGUAGUCCACACCGUAAACGAUGAGAGCUAGUUGUUGGCAGGCAUGCCUGUCGGUGACGCAGCUAACGCAUUAAGCUCUCCGCCUGGGGAGUACGGUCGCAAGAUUAAAACUCAAAGAAUUGACGGGGGCCCGCACAAGCGGUGGAGCAUGUGGUUUAAUUCGAAGCAACGCGCAGAACCUUACCUACCCUUGACAUACCGAUCGCGGUUUCCAGAGAUGGAUUCCUUCAGUUAGGCUGGAUCGGAUACAGG
rnacentral:rRNA from 1 species